rnacentral:lncRNA from 1 species
UUGAACUUGAGUCUGUGUUGUUUUGAACUUGAGGAUGUGGCAAUUGUUAAACUUGACAAUCAGGUGUUGGUUGAACUUGAGUUUGUGUCGUGUUUGAACUUGAGUUCGUGUUGUUUGUUUAACUUGAGGUUGUGUGUUUUUUGAACUUGAGGUUGUGAAAAUUUUUAAACUUGAAAAUCAGGUGUUGGUUGAACUUGAGUUUGUGUUUUUUUUUGUCGGGUUUUACCUUGAGUUUGUAGUUUUUUGUACUUGAUUUUAUGGUGUUUUUGAACUUGAGUUUGUGUCGUGUUUGAACUUGAGUUUGUGUUGUGUUUGAACUUGAGUUUGUGGUGUUUUUGAAAUUGAGUUUGUGUGUUUGGUGAACUUGAAUUUGUGUGUUUUUUUAACUUGAGUUUCUGUUGUUUUUGAACUUGAGGUUGUGGAAAUUGUUAAACUUGAGAAUCAGGUGUUGGUUGAACUUGAGUUUGUAGUUUUUUUUUAACUUGAGUUAGUGAUGUGUUUAAACUUGAGUUUGUGUUGUUUUGGCACUUGAGUUUGUUUCGUGUUUGAACUUGAGUUUUCUGCGUUUGUUGAACUUGAGUUUUUUUCAUUUUGAACUUGAGUUUGUGGUGUUAUUGAACUUGAGUUUGUGGUGUUUUUGAACUUGAGGGUGUGGAUUUUGUUAAACUUGAGAAUUUUGUAUUGUUUGAACUUGAGUUUGUGUGUUUUUUGAACUUGAGUUUGUGUCGUGUUUGAACUUGAGUUCGUGUUGAUUGUUGAACUGGAGUUUUUGUGUUUUUUGAACUUGAGGUUGUGGCAAUUGUUAGACUUGAGAUUUGGGUGUUGGUUGAACUUGAGUUUGUGUCGUGUUUGAACUUGAGUUCGUGUUGAUUGUUGAACUUGAGUUUGUGUGUUUUUUGAACUUGAGAUUUUGUCGUGUUUGAACUUGAGUAUGUUGUGUAAUUGAACUUGAGUUGAGUCUGGUUUUUAAACUUAAGGUUGCGGAACUGUUAAACUUGAAAAUCAGGUAUUAGUGUAACUUGAGUUUGUGGUUUUAUUUAACUUCAGUUUGUGUCGUGUUUGAACUUGAGUUUGUAGUGUUUUUGAACUUGAGUUUGUGGUGUUUUUGAACUUGAGUUUGUUUCGUAUUUGAACAUGAGUUUGUGGCGUUUGUUGAACUUGAGUUUUUGUCGUGUUUGAACUUGAGGUUGUGGCAAUUGUUUUACUUGAGAUUUUGUUGUUGGUUGACCUUUAGUUUGUGUCACAUUUGAACUUGAGUUUGUGGUGUUUUUGAACUUGAAUUUGUGUGUUUCGUGAACUUGAGUUUAUGGUGUUUUCGAACUUGAAUCUGUUGUUGAACUUGAGGUUGUUGAAAUUGUUAAACUUGAGAAUUGGGUAUUGGUUGAACUUGAGAUUGUGAUUUUGUUUAACUUGAGUUUUUGUUGUGUUUCAACUUGAGUUUCUGAUGUUCUUGAAUUUGAGUUUGUGUGUUUGUUGAACUUGAGUUUGUUUCGUGUUUGAACUUGAGUUUGUGUCAUUUUUGAACUUGAGGUUGUGGUGUGUUUGAACUUGAGUUUGUGUGUAUUUUGAACUUAAGGUUGUGGUAAUUUUAAAACUUGAGAUUUGGGAAUUGGUUGAACUUGAGUCUGUGUUGUUGUUGAACUUGAGGUUUUUGAAAUUGUGAAACUUGAGAAUUGGGUAUUGGUUGAACUUGAGUUUGUGAUUUUGUUGAACUUGAGUUUGUGUCGUGUUUAAACUUGAGUUUGUGGUGUUUUUGAACUUGAGUUUGUGUUGUGUUUGAACUUGAGUUUGUUUCUUUCUUGACUUGAGUUUGUGGCAUUUGUUGAACUUGAGUUUGUGUCGUGUUUGAACUUGAAUUUGUGGUGUUUUCGAACUUGAGUUUGUGGUGUUUUUGAACUUGAGGUUGUGGUGUUUUUGAACUUGAGGAUGUGGAAAUUGUUCAACUUGAGAAUUGGGUAUUGGUUUAACUUGAGUUUUUUGUGUUUUUGAACUUGAGUUUGUGUCGUGUUUGAACUUGAGUUUGUGGUGUUUUUGAACUUGAAUUUGGGUGUUUGGUGAACUUGAGUUUUUGUGUUUUUUGAACUUGAGUUUCUGUUGUUUUUGAACUUGAGUUUGUGGAAAUUGUUGUGGAAAAACUUGAGAAUUUGGUAUUUGUUGAACUUGAGUCUGUGUUGUUGUUGAACUUGAGGUUGUUGAAAUUGUGAAACUUGAGAAUUGGGUAUUGGUUGAACUUGAGUUUGUGAUUUUUUUUAACUUGAGUUUGUGUCAUGUUUUAACUUGAGUUUGUGAUGUUUUUGAAUUUGAGUUUGUGUGUUUGUUGAACUUGAGUUUGUGUUGUGUUUGAACUUGAAUUUGUGGCAAAUGUUGAACUUGAGUCUGUGCUUUUUGGUGAACUUUAGUUGGUGGGAAUUGUUGAACUUGAGUUUGUGGCAUAUGUUGAACUUGAGUUUGUGACGUGUUUGAACUUGCGUUAGUUUUUUUUUUACUUGAGGUUGUGGUGUUUUUGAACUUGAGGUUUUGGAAAUUGUUUAACUUGAGAAUUGGGUAUUGGUUUAACUUGAGUUUGUGUGUUUGUUGAACUUGAGGUUGUGGCAAUUGUUAAACUUGAGUUUGUGUGUUUUUUGAACUUGAGUUUGCGGUGUGUUUGAACUAGAGUUUCUGUUGUUUUUGAACUUGAGUUUGUGGCAUUUGUUGAACUUGAGUUUGUGACGUGUUUGAACUUGGGUUUGUGUGUUUUUUGAACUUGAAUUUCUGUUGUUUUUGAACUUGAGGUAUUGGAAAUUGUUAAACCUUAGAAUCAGCUGUUGGUUGAACUUGAGUUUGUGUUUUGUUGAACUUGAGUUUGUGUCGUGUUUGAACUUUAGUUUGUGGUGUUUUUGAACUUGAGUUUGUGUGUUUGUUGAACUUGAGUUUGUGUUGUGUUUGAACUUGAGUUUGUGGUGUUUUUUAACUUAAGUUUGUGGUGUUUUUGAACUUGAGUUUGUGUGUUUGUUGAACUUGAGUUUGCGGUGUGUUUGAACUAGAGUUUCUGUUGUUUUUGAACUUGAGUUUGUGGCAUUUGUUGAACUUGAGUUUGUGACGUGUUUGAACUUGGGUUUGUGUGUUUUUUGAACUUGAAUUUCUGUUGUUUUUGAACUUGAGGUAUUGGAAAUUGUUAAACCUUAGAAUCAGCUGUUGGUUGAACUUGAGUUUGUGUUUUGUUGAACUUGAGUUUGUGUCGUGUUUGAACUUUAGUUUGUGGUGUUUUUGAACUUGAGCUUGUGUGUUUGUUGAACUUGAGUUUGUGUUGUGUUUGAACUUGAGGUUGUGGCAAUUGUUAAACUUGAGUUUGUGGUGUUUUUGAACUUGAGUUUGCGGUGUGUUUGAACUAGAGUUUCUGUUGUUUUUGAAUUUGAGUUUGUGGCAUUUGUUGAACUUGAGUUUGUGACAUGUUUGAACUUGGGUUUGUGUGUUUUUUGAACUUGAAUUUCUGUUGUUUUUGAACUUGAGGUAUUGGAAAUUGUUAAACCUUAGAAUCAGCUGUUGGUUGAACUUGAGUUUGUGUUUUGUUGAACUUGAGUUUGUGUCGUGUUUGAACUUUGGUUUGUGGUGUUUUUGAACUUGAGUUUGUGGUGUUUUUGAACUUAAGUUUGUGGUGUUUUUCAACUUGAGUUCGUGGUUUUUUUUAACUUGAGGUUGUGGAAAUUGUUAUACUUGAGACCUGGGUAUAGGUCGAACUUGAGGUUUUUUUUUUUAACAUGAGUUUGUGUCGUGUUUGAACUUGAGUUUGUGGUGUUUUUGGACUUGAGUUUGUGGUGUUUUUAACUUAAGGGUGUGCCAAAUGUUAAACUUGAGAAACUGGUAUUGGUUGAACUAGAGUUUUUGGUGUUUUUGAACUUGAGUUUUUGGAAAUUGUUAAACUUGAGAAUCAGAUGUUGGAUGAACUUGAGUUAGUGUGUUUUUUGAACUUGAGUUUGUGUCAUGUUUUAACUUGAGUUUGUGAUGUUUUUGAAUUUGAGUUUGUGUGUUUGUUGAACUUGAGUUUGUGUUGUGUUUGAACUUGAAUUUGUGGCAAAUGUUGAAAUUGAGUCUUUGCUUUUUGGUGAACUUUAGUUGGUGGGAAUUGUUGAACUUGAGUUUGUGGCAUAUGUUGAACUUGAGUUUGUGACGUGUUUGAACUUGCGUUAGUUUUUUUUUUACUUGAGGUUGUGGUGUUUUUGAACUUGAGGUUUUGGAAAUUGUUUAACUUGAGAAUUGGGUAUUGGUUUAACUUGAGUUUGUGUGUUUGUUGAACUUGAGGUUGUGGCAAUUGUUAAACUUGAGUUUGUGGUGUUUUUGAACUUGAGUUUGUGUGUUUUUUGAACUUGAGUUUGCGGUGUGUUUGAACUAGAGUUUCUGUUGUUUUUGAACUUGAGUUUGUGGCAUUUGUUGAACUUGAGUUUGUGACGUGUUUGAACUUGGGUUUGUGUGUUUUUUGAACUUGAAUUUCUGUUGUUUUUGAACUUGAGGUAUUGGAAAUUGUUAAACCUUAGAAUCAGCUGUUGGUUGAACUUGAGUUUGUGUUUUCUUGAACUUGAGUUUGUGUCGUGUUUGAACUUUAGUUUGUGGUGUUUUUGAACUUGAGUUUGUGUGUUUGUUGAACUUGAGUUUGUGUUGUGUUUGAACUUGAGUUUGUGGUGUUUUUGAACUAGAGUUUCUGUUGUUUUUGAACUUGAGUUUGUGGCAUUUGUUGAACUUGAGUUUGUGACGUGUUUGAACUUGGGUUUGUGUGUUUUUUGAACUUGAAUUUCUGUUGUUUUUGAACUUGAGGUAUUGGAAAUUGUUAAACCUUAGAAUCAGCUGUUGGUUGAACUUGAGUUUGUGUCGUGUUUGAACUUUAGUUUGUGGUGUUUUUGAACUUGAGCUUGUGUGUUUGUUGAACUUGAGUUUGUGUUGUGUUUGAACUUGAGGUUGUGGCAAUUGUUAAACUUGAGUUUGUGGUGUUUUUGAACUUGAGUUUGCGGUGUGUUUGAACUAGAGUUUCUGUUGUUUUUGAAUUUGAGUUUGUGGCAUUUGUUGAACUUGAGUUUGUGACAUGUUUGAACUUGGGUUUGUGUGUUUUUUGAACUUGAAUUUCUGUUGUUUUUGAACUUGAGGUAUUGGAAAUUGUUAAACCUUAGAAUCAGCUGUUGGUUGAACUUGAGUUUGUGUUUUGUUGAACUUGAGUUUGUGUCGUGUUUGAACUUUGGUUUGUGGUGUUUUAGAACUUGAGUUUGUGUGUUUGUUGAACUUGAGUUUGUGUUUUGUUGAACUUGAGUUUGUGUCGUGUUUGAACUUUGGUUUGUGGUGUUUUUGAACUUGAGUUUGUGUGUUUGUUGAACUUGAGUUUGUGUUGUGUUUGAACUUGAGUUUGUGGUGUUUUUGAACUUAAGUUUGUGGUGUUUUUCAACUUGAGUUUGUGGUUUUUUUUAACUUGAGGUUGUGGAAAUUGUUAUACUUGAGACCUGGGUAUAGGUCGAACUUGAGUUUUUUUUUUUAACAUGAGUUUGUGUCGUGUUUGAACUUGAGCUUGUGGUGUUUUUGGACUUUAGUUUGUGGUGUUUUUGAACUUGAGUUUGUGUGUUUGUUGAACUUGAGUUUGUGUUGUGUUUGAACUUGAGUUUGUGGUGUUUUUUAACUUAAGUUUGUGGUGUUUUUGAACUUGAGUUUGUGUGUUUGUUGAACUUGAGUUUGCGGUGUGUUUGAACUAGAGUUUCUGUUGUUUUUGAACUUGAGUUUGUGUGUUUGUUGAACUUGAGUUUGUGUUGUGUUUGAACUUGAGUUUGUGGUGUUUUUGAACUUGAGUUUGUGUGUUUGUUGAACUUGAGUUUGUGUUGUGUUUGAACUUGAGGUUUUGGAAAUUGUUUAACUUGAGAAUUGGGUAUUGGUUUAACUUGAGUUUGUGUGUUUGUUGAACUUGAGGUUGUGGCAAUUGUUAAACUUGAGUUUGUGGUGUUUUUGAACUUGAGUUUGUGUGUUUUUUGAACUUGAGUUUGCGGUGUGUUUGAACUAGAGUUUCUGUUGUUUUUGAACUUGAGUUUGUGGCAUUUGUUGAACUUGAGUUUGUGACGUGUUUGAACUUGGGUUUGUGUGUUUUUUGAACUUGAAUUUCUGUUGUUUUUGAACUUGAGGUAUUGGAAAUUGUUAAACCUUAGAAUCAGCUGUUGGUUGAACUUGAGUUUGUGUUUUCUUGAACUUGAGUUUGUGUCGUGUUUGAACUUUAGUUUGUGGUGUUUUUGAACUUGAGUUUGUGUGUUUGUUGAACUUGAGUUUGUGUUGUGUUUGAACUUGAGUUUGUGGUGUUUUUGAACUAGAGUUUCUGUUGUUUUUGAACUUGAGUUUGUGGCAUUUGUUGAACUUGAGUUUGUGACGUGUUUGAACUUGGGUUUGUGUGUUUUUUGAACUUGAAUUUCUGUUGUUUUUGAACUUGAGGUAUUGGAAAUUGUUAAACCUUAGAAUCAGCUGUUGGUUGAACUUGAGUUUGUGUCGUGUUUGAACUUUAGUUUGUGGUGUUUUUGAACUUGAGCUUGUGUGUUUGUUGAACUUGAGUUUGUGUUGUGUUUGAACUUGAGUUUGUGGCAAUUGUUAAACUUGAGUUUGUGGUGUUUUUGAACUUGAGUUUGCGGUGUGUUUGAGCUAGAGUUUCUGUUGUUUUUGAAUUUGAGUUUGUGGCAUUUGUUGAACUUGAGUUUGUGACAUGUUUGAACUUGGGUUUGUGUGUUUUUUGAACUUGAAUUUCUGUUGUUUUUGAACUUGAGAUAUUGGAAAUUGUUAAACCUUAGAAUCAGCUGUUGGUUGAACUUGAGUUUGUGUUUUGUUGAACUUGAGUUUGUGUCGUGUUUGAACUUUGGUUUGUGGUGUUUUAGAACUUGAGUUUGUGUGUUUGUUGAACUUGAGUUUGUGUUUUGUUGAACUUGAG